GUACCACUGUUGAAGAAGGAUAACCAGGAGGUGUCUGCAUCAUCUCUUCUAAUGUCAUGCCCUUAAUCAUCUUCUUAGAAGGCACCACACGGAGAGCUUGUGAAGCUGCACAAACUACACUAUACGAAAUGGACUUGAAGCCUAAUUCUUGACCAAAGGAAGCAACCCAAUAGGCAAAAUCAUACAACACAAAUUUAGGCUUGAUAGUGCCCAAAAUGGUUUUAACUUGGUCUUGUGUUUGGUCCAUGGCUGUGCAAAGAUGAUUAUGAAGAGUAAAGGGUACAUCAGAGACUGUUUCAGCACCAGGAGGGAGGCCAUCCACACGAGGAACCAUCAAAGGAAAGAAGUGAAUGAGAUUGGGGUGUUGGUUGAGUUGGGUUAGCUUGGGUUCUGCUCCUUUGGGCAACAAGAAAGAGACUUUGUAGCCUUUCUCCGCAAGCUUGUUAGCAAGGUGAAGAUAUGGUAUGAAAUGGCCAUACGCAAACCAUGGAAACAUAGCUACAUGAUUUGAGCUCAUGGUAUCUGCCAUUAUUUUUCUGUAGGCCAAUGAUUUUACAAUUUUUUUCGCCUCUAUGAGUUUACAACAGAGAGAAGAUCAGUGUACCGACGGGUCAGCUUGCUGGAAAUGGGCAGCCUUCCACAUGAA
rnacentral:misc_RNA from 1 species